GACGAACGCUGGCGGCGUGCCUAAUACAUGCAAGUUGAGCGCUGAAGGUUGGUACUUGUACCAACUGGGUGAGCAGCGAACGGGUGAGUAACGCGUGGGGAAUCUGCCUUUGAGCGGGGGACAACAUUUGGAAACGAAUGCUAAUACCUCAUAAAAACUUUAAACACAAGUUUUAAGUUUGAAAGAUGCAAUUGCAUCACUCAAAGAUGAUCCCGCGUUGUAUUAGCUAGUUGGUGAGGUAAAGGCUCACCAAGGCGAUGAUACAUAGCCGACCUGAGAGGGUGAUCGGCCACAUUGGGACUGAGACACGGCCCAAACUCCUACGGGAGGCAGCAGUAGGGAAUCUUCGGCAAUGGACGAAAGUCUGACCGAGCAACGCCGCGUGAGUGAAGAAGGUUUUCGGAUCGUAAAACUCUGUUGGUAGAGAAGAACGUUGGUGAGAGUGGAAAGCUCAUCAAGUGACGGUAACUACCCAGAAAGGGACGGCUAACUACGUG
rnacentral:rRNA from 1 species